CCAGUGACAAAGUAAGACCCAGACUCUUCCAAAAGAUUCGCAACCAAUGAAGAGAUGACAUGUCAUUUCGGAUAAUCCACACCCUCCAACACACAAAUUGUCGUUUGGUUGAAGAAUGAGACGACGCACCAAAUUUGCUCUUGUAGGAAUUCUGUCUUGUAGCAACCGCCAAGCAAAAGGCGACACUUUUUUCGGAACCAAUUUGUGCUACACAUCAAUAAAAUCCUCAUCGGCCAACUGUUCUUCAGAAUUUGUGAGAAAAUGAUAAGUCCCACCAACACUACAUCCAUGAAGAGGAUCUAAUAACCACCUUCAACGAUCAUGAAUAUUAACCUGCAAAACAAUGUUAUCCAGCAAAGUGAUACACUCCCUCAUACUCUCC
rnacentral:lncRNA from 1 species